UACGGAGGGGGCUAGCGUUGUUCGGAAUUACUGGGCGUAAAGCGCACGUAGGCGGCUUGGUAAGUUAGAGGUGAAAGCCUGGAGCUCAACUCCAGAAUUGCCUUUAAGACUGCCGAGCUAGCAGGUGAGAGAGGUGAGUGGAAUUCCGAGUGUAGAGGUGAAAUUCGUAGAUAUUUGGAAGAACACCAGUGGCGAAGGCGGCUCACUGGCUCAUACUGGACGCUGAGGUGCGAAAGCGUGGGGAGCAAACAGG
rnacentral:rRNA from 1 species